CUAAGAAUCUUCCGCAAUGGGGGAAACCCUGACGGAGCGACGCCGCGUGGACGAUGAAGGCCGUAAGGUUGUAAAGUCCUUUUGCAGGUGAAGAAUAAGCCGGGGAGUGGAAUGCCCUGGUGAUGACGUUAGCCUGCGAAUAAGCCCCGGCCAAUUACGUGCCAGCAGCCGCGGUAAUACGUAUGGGGCGAGCGUUGUUCGGAGUUAUUGGGCGUAAAGGGCGUGUAGGCGGCUCGAGAAGUCUGGUGUGAAAUCGCAGGGCUCAACCCUGGGGGGGCGGUGGAAACUGAGGGGCUUGAGUCCGGGGGGGGAGGCUGGAAUUCCUGGGGAGGGGGUGAAAUUGGUAGAGAUCAGAAGGACAGCCGGUGGCGAGGGCGGGCUUCUAUUCGGGGACUGACGCGGAGGCGGGAAAGCGUGGGGAGCAAACAG
rnacentral:rRNA from 1 species